rnacentral:tRNA from 1 species
GAGAAGGCAUAAAGGUUAUAGAGUUGGCUUGAAACUAACU